AUCUGUAAAUUGUUUAUUAUAUUCAAAUUCUCCAGCACAUACUUAUUGUAAAAGUCAUCUGUAAGGCUCAUCGUGCUAGCUUUAGAAUACUGAUAAAACAAAAUCCUUAAAGCUGCCAUAGGAGGAAGGAUUGCCAUAUCCAAGAACUUUUGAAUUAGGAAAGAGGGGUAAGGAAUCAAUAAAUUUCGUGGACUUUUAAAUUUUGAUAAGAUAUACUGCUGGUCCUUUUCAAAUUUCAUAUUUUCUCUUCGAGAAAAUGACCACGAGAUGUCUCCUAAUGUCUCAGCAGUCAUAGGAUAAGGCACGAAUGAAAGAAGGUGUCUAUUCCUUUUAAAAGGAUGCAACAAAGACGAUUUUGAAAAUUCCAAAAGAUUUGCAUUCGUGAUCCCAUGUUUUGUAAGAAUAUCAGUUAUUUUUUCGAUAACUGGGUAUGGUUGGUUUACUAAAAGUAAACAUGCACUCGGAGAGCUUUUAAUUUCAGGAAUUAGUUUAUGAAUUGAGUCGACAGUUAGAUUCCAUUUGGUAGAUACUAUAAAGGUCACUCCCUUGUAUCCAGUAUAUUCUU